GAAUAAGCAUCGGCUAACUCCGUGCCAGCAGCCGCGGUAAUACGGGGGAUGCGAGCGUUAUCCGGAUUUAUUGGGUUUAAAGGGCGCGUAGGCGGGACGUCAAGUCAGCGGUAAAAGACUGCAGCUAAACUGUAGCACGCCGUUGAAACUGUCGACCUGGAGACGAGACGAGGGAGGCGGAACAAGUGAAGUAGCGGUGAAAUGCAUAGAUAUCACUUGGAACCCCGAUAGCGAAGGCAGCUUCCCAGGCUCGAUCUGACGCUGAUGCGCGAGAGCGUGGGUAGCGAACAGGAUUAGAUACCCUGGUAGUCCACGCCGUAAACGAUGCUCACUGGAUCUUGGCGAUACACGGCCAGGGUUCAAGCGAAAGUAUUAAGUGAGCCACCUGGGGAGUACGUCGGCAACGAUGAAACUCAAAGGAAUUGACGGGGGCCCGCACAAGCGGAGGAACAUGUGGUUUAAUUCGAUGAUACGCGAGGAACCUUACCCGGGUUUAAAUGCAGGUUGCAUGAGGUGGAAACACCUCUUUCCCUCGGGACUACCUGCAAGGUGCUGCAUGGUUGUCGUCAGCUCGUGCCGUGAGGUGUCGGGUUAAGUCCCAUAACGAGCGCAACCCCUAUCGCCAGUUGCCAUCGGUUCAAGCCGGGCACUCUGUCGAGACUGCCACCGUAAGGUGCGAGGAAGGCGGGGAUGACGUCAAAUCAGCACGGCCCUUACACCCGGGGCGACACACGUGUUACAAUGGCCGGUACAGAGGGCAGCCACGGGGCGACCCGGAGCGAAUCUCUAAAGCCGGUCGUAGUUCGGACUGGAGUCUGCAACCCGACUCCACGAAGUUGGAUUCGCUAGUAAUCGCGCAUCAGCCAUGGCGCGGUGAAUACGUUCCCGGGCC
rnacentral:rRNA from 1 species